GAUGAACGCUGGCGGCGUGCCUAAUACAUGCAAGUAGAACGCUGAAGCUUGGUGCUUGCACCGAGCGGAUGAGUUGCGAACGGGUGAGUAACGCGUAGGUAACCUGCCUCUUAGCGGGGGAUAACUAUUGGAAACGAUAGCUAAUACCGCAUAAAAGUCGAUAUCGCAUGAUAUUGAUUUGAAAGGUGCAAAUGCAUCACGAAGAGAUGGACCUGCGUUGUAUUAGCUAGUUGGUGAGGUAACGGCUCACCAAGGCGACGAUACAUAGCCGACCUGAGAGGGUGGUCGGCCACACUGGGACUGAGACACGGCCCAGACUCCUACGGGAGGCAGCAGUAGGGGAUCUUCGGCAAUGGGGGCAACCCUGACCGAGCAACGCCGCGUGAGGGAAGAAGGUUUUCGGGUCGGAAAGGUCUGUUGUAAGGGAAGAACGAGUGUGAGAGUGGAAAGUUCACACUGUGACGGUAACUUAACAGAAAGGAACGGCUAACUACGUG
rnacentral:rRNA from 1 species